rnacentral:rRNA from 1 species
UUUAGUGAGAGUUUGAUCCUGGCUCAGGACGAACGCUGGCGGCGUGCCUAACACAUGCAAGUCGAGCGAGAGGAGU